GCCAUCCGAUCACAAAUUCGAUGUUUUCCUGAACAGAUGAAGGUAAGACAAAAGGUGAGUUACCAAUCACCGCGUAUAACCAGACUCAAUACAAAUAAGCAGAGCAUACUACAUAAAUCGUAGUAACGCAAAGAACUUAAGGGCAGUUGUAUAACCAAUACGGAUAAAUCUAGAGUAUCAUAGGGAUUUAAUCAAAGGUAGUACAACAGAACCAAGCAAAAAUAGAAUAGAAUAGAACAAAAUAAAUCAUACAGUAUAGAAUCAAAUAGAUCAGAAUAGAACCGAAUGGUACAGAGUAGAGCAGAACUAAGCUAAACAGAAUAGAACGGAGCAGAGUAGAACGGAAUAGAGCAGAGCAUGUAUGUUUAUGCAGAUGCAUUGUUUUUUUUUCAAACAGGUCAGAAUGCAGAUUUAUCAGAACAGUCUGCCCAAACUCCAUUACACACCAAAUAGACUUCCCUAGAACUCGUCCAAGUUCGGCUUAAACUUUUAGGCCGGGUUUGGGGUGUUACAACUCAAUUUUACAUCGAUAAAAUUAGUGCAAAUUAAAAAAAUUUAACACAACUUUUUUACCUCUAUUUUAACUAAUAAUUGUAAUUAAUUAUAAUUAUCACAAAAUUUGCAUAUAUUUUAUGCUUAGAAUUGUAUUAAAGUAAUAAUUUAAUUUUAAAAGUAGCACAACAUUUUAACUAUAAUUUUAUAUUAUUUUUAAAGUUAAUUUAAUAAUAUGAUUGAAAAUAUAUGAUAUUCUCAUCGAUUCAAAAUUUUUUCCAAUAUUAUGUAUAUAUUAUAAAUAGAUUAUGUAAAUAUAACUGAUGUCUAUGGAUUUAUCUUGAUACUUGUUAUACUAGGUAAAUUACCCAAAAAUAUCAAAAAUUUUGAAAAAUUACCGGAUUAGGCCGGUUUUUUUAGAAAUUUACUGGAUUAGGUCGAUUUUGGAGAGAGAGAAGGAAAAGUGUCAAGUUGGAAAUGUUUUCCCUAACAACUACCCCCAACGGUCGAAUUAUAAUGGCUCCUCUCAAUAGCUAUUUUUUCCUUAUCUAAACCCCAAAUUUCCCACUUUUUUAAUUCACUUUCAACUCUCUCAAUUCUCUCUUAAUUCUCACUCAACUCUCUCAAUUCAGUCUCAUUUUUUAUUAAAAUUUUAGUAAGGUUUUUUAAAUUAAUUUUGUCUUAUGAUUUUUUUUCGUAUUUAUUGAAAUUAGUAAUGAUAAAUUCUUUAAUUCGUUUGGAUGGCAAGCACAUUCCGACUGUUCAAUUGCAAAUGGUAAGAAUUUUUUUAAUCUAGUUUAAUUUAAUUAUUUUGUUGUUAUAUUUAAAUUUAAGAUUUUGUAUGUUUUCUUAUAAUUAGCCGGAAGAUCAGAUUUUGGAGAAGUAUAUUCGCAACCUAUUCGCUCCUUCAUCUUUUUUAAUCGAACCAUAUUUAAGAGAUGCAUGAUUUUUGCAUGUGGCCCGUAUGGGUAGGGGGUGUAAGUUGAACCCCACACUUGUAAGCUCAUUGGUGGAAAUAUGGGGACUUGAGACAUACACAUUCCAUCUUUCAUGCUGCAAGUGUACUAUCACAUUCAAAGGCGUGCGGUUAUAGCUCGAUUUACCAGUGGAUGGGCCGGUAGUGACUGGGUCAGUUGUCGCUAUCAAUUGGAGAGAUUUAUGUAAGCAACUUAUAGGGAGGGUUCUAGACACGAUUUUUGGAGCCCAGAUAGAGAUGAAUUGAUUGAAAAGAAAUUUUGUUGAGCUCGAUGCAAAAUUGAGUGAAGUUGAAUGAGAACAAUACACUCAGACGUACAUCCUUAGGAUCAUCGGGGGUCUCCUAGUGCACGAUAAAUCGUGAAAUCUUGUCCAUUUAAGGUGGCUGCUAAAACUCAUGGAAUUUAGAGAAAUGGGCCUACUUAAUUGGGGGUUAGCCAUGUUGGUGACGUUAUACCGGAAGAUGUGUCGGGCGAUGUAACCAUAGAUAAUUAAAAUUGGUGGUUGCAUGCUCCUACUGCAAUCAUGGGCGUGGUAAUAACUAUCAUUUUUAUAGCAUUGAGUGGACUACCCUUAUACAUUCUCACUUGUAACAAGGUAAAAUUUAUUAGAUAAUUUAUUUACCAUAAGAAAAUUAUUUAAAUUUAAAAUUAUUGUAUUAAUAUAUUAUUUCAAUAGGUGGAGCCAUGAACCGAGUUAUGUGGGACUACCGAAGGAGCUUCAAGAUAUACGGCUCCAAUUAGAUCAAUUAUCAAAAGCGGAGGUAUAUAUUUUUAAAUUUUAAAUUAUAUAAUAUUAACAUAAUUGAUUUUAAAAUUAAUAGUAAAUAUAUAACUAAAAUUAUUAUUGUACUAUAGUUUGAAUGGACGUCAUAUUCCAAUCCGAGAAUUCAAGCAUGCAUCUCGUUCGAAUAUUAGUGAAUCCCAACAUCUAGCACGUGAAAGUGCCAUUGGUAGUGCAUACUACAGUGGAGCUGCACGAAUUUGAUAGAGUUAUGCGGCAGUUUGGUUUAAGAAACGAUUCCACCGACACCCUAAGACAUCGAAUAUCUGCACAAUAUCGACUUACGAGGGAGAAUCGAUGAAAAUUGAGUUACAUUCCACAUACAAUAUAUAAAUAUUUGGACACAUAGGUAUGGAUUUAUACCUAAUUGUGAACCCAUUAUCGCUAGAGAAUUAGCCUGCGAUCCGGAGUACAUGCCAUGGUUUAAACACCAUGGCAAGCCCUAUCUACUAUCGGAGGAGACAAGGGUAGGCAAUGUCAUAUGAGGAGGCUACGACGAAUGCCUAGGAAUCCAAGGUUUGGUAUAGUUGCCGAGGCGAGUCAAUCAUCUACACCAACAUAAGAAAAGGCACCGAUGGCCGCACCACCCCUUGGUUAGCAUGACUCGACUUAUUCUACUAUUCUCACUAACCUCAUCAUUUUUACACAAGCACCACAUAUUGUAUCAUAUUUUUCUAUUUUUAAACUGUCUCCAAAUAUAAUUUUUGGACCACCACAUCCGUCCCUAUUGUAUUACAUAUCAAUUCCAUCCACAUACCAGAUGACGAUAAUUUUGACGAUGACAUAUAUGCCGACUAUGUUUGCGGCACUGACGAAAAGUUCAUAUUUUCUGCCAUCAGUGUAUAAGACACAAUAUACUUAUACGCCUACGCUAAUAGUGUCAGAAACACCCCCGGGAUCAUUGUUCUACCAAGAUGGAUCAUCUUCGCAACCACUUGUUCAUAGAAUAGAGAAGACAUGAUGGCAACCGAAGAGUAGAUCACAAUCAACCAUGGAUGGAAGCGAAGAAGAGGGUGGAGGUGAUGAUGAAGAUGAAGAAGAGGGCAGCUGGAACCACAGCUUGAACGAAGAAGAAAUUCAUCUUGUAACCGACGACCACCCCAUCUUGGCACGCAUUCUGCUCGACGACACAAAUGAUUUUUUUGGUACUUGUCAUAUAAAUCUUAAUUGUUUAGCUAAGUUGUAGUCAACAACAUUGUAUGAAUAUUGGAUAUGAAAUGUUUUUAAAUAAAUAUUAUUUUUGAAUCAAAAUUGGUUGUCAUUGCCAUUUUAUAUUGCUAAGCCAAGUUUUAUUCGGUCAUUUUAUACGGAUAUUACAAAUUUGUACAAGGAUCUAGUUUCCACAAGAGAAAUGGAAUAAAGUUGUAUAUUGUAUUGUUCUCUAUAGUAUAAUAAAAUAAUAUUUACAAACUAUAAAAAAAUUGAGAAUGAAUGAAAAAAAUCAACAAAUAGUGGUUAAAAAACUAAUAAAUCGAUUAACGAGAUCUUGUCCUCAUAGUAUCCUCCAAGAUUGGAUAUGAUGACUUUGUAUGCCUUGAGUUCCUACCUUAACUGCAUAACCUCGGUUGGUUUGUCCUCUCCUUAAUAUUUAUGUUGUUGCAUAUCCAAGUAGAGUUCAGUUGACCUUUUGGUUUGCGACGCAAUGAACUAUUCAGCAACAACUUGAAUGGAGUGCUCGAUAUAGGCGGCCACAUACUUUCAUCUGGGAUUGGUGGGAAUUCAUAUUUCCAUACGUUAUACAUGUGUUGUAGUUCAUCCAUUUCGUCCACAAAUCUCAUGUGAUCCAAAUGUACCGAGGAACAUGUUGCAAUUGCAUGAUCGUAUGGAAAACAAAGUGCAUCAAAUCUCCUACAGUCACAGGUCCAUCGUCUUAGGUGUACAUAGUACGCUCCCCUGACAAUACCUUGGUCAGGUCUGUUGAACUCCGUAACCCGAAAUGAUAGGUUUUCACACGAGUGACAUACUAAAUGGAUACUGUUCGCUCAUGUUGUAGCCUCUCUAAUUUCUUUCAUAAAGCCUUCGCACCAAACGUGGCCACCUUUCAUCUGUCCAACAUAUUUUUUCGCUCGCUUUAGAAAUAGUCCUGCGAAGCGAAAAUAUGUUUCUUUCACAACCGAGGUUAUUUUAAACUCUAAUUAUAUGGGUUUUUCUAGUAGUUUUUAUCGCCUUUUUACUUAAAAAUGAUACUAAUCCCGAGUAUUUUUUAAUUAAUUAAAUGAAUUUUGCUUAUAUUUUGACAAUGGACAUAAAUUUAUAGAAUAUACAAAUUUGUGUUUUAUUAUAUUAAUUAUGUGCAUAAAUUAAAUUCUUUCAUAUUAUUUAUUAAUGUGAUAUAUUUAAUUAUGCAGUGGGACCAUGAUGUUGAUUUAAUAAAAAGCUUAUUAUAAUUUUUGCAUGGAUAUGAGCAAUUCUACCCUACUUGGACGACAAACCGUGUAAAUUGGGUCAUGAAAAUGUUGCUUUGACUCAAUGAAAAAUGGUGCCAUAUGGUGCACAAGUCUGACUAUUAAAUGGGUCACAAAACCAUUCAAACAAUGAGAACUAUUAAAUGGGUCACAAAACCAUUCAAACAAGGAGAAUAGAAGCCCAAUUCAGUAAGGAUAUUUGGGUAGCCAAAAAUAAGCUUUUGAGAUAACUAUUUGGAGGUCCCUACACUUGGAAAAUCAUUAAAAAUCAACACACUACAUUUUUUGAAGAAACCAUCCACCCCUUGCAUAUUAAAGCAUGGUUUUAUGCUUGACAACCAACUCACACUCCUUUCCACAUAUUAUGGCGGGCCAAAGGUGGGAGAAAUCUAAGGGAUCUCUGAUGCCAUAUUUAGCAAACUCCUCCACCAACCUCAAGUAUAAAUACCCACUCCCAUCUCACAUUUCAAUCAUCCCUCAUUCAUCCUUCAUUUAACAUUUCUCUUCCAUUCUCUCAUUCCCUAUUUUCAUUCCCUCGCAUAGCAUCCCAUAUUUCCUUUCUUUCUUAGCCAGCAAAACCUUGAUAAGAUCAUUUCUUGGUCGUCCACCUUGAGGAGCCAUUAGCAAAGGAGCAACACGAGAAUAGGAGGAAACUUCUUCAAUUGGAGUUCGCAAGGCUGCUAAUUCGAACAAAGUUUAAUCUUCUUUUACUUGUUGCUUUGAUUUUAAUCAUGUUUGCAAUGUGCUUUGUUAUCUUGUCAUCAACAAUGGUAGCUUAAAUCUAUUUAGCUAGGAUGAUUGCAUUAAUUCAAUGAAGUUUGUAUAAAUCAUGUUUAUAGUGUUUGUGCCUCAAUCAUUCAUGUUUUCAAUUAAACUCAACCAUGUAUUUCAUUCAUACGUGAUUGGAAUGGAAACAAUAGUUGAAAAGUGCAUGCUUAAUUUAGAUCCUAACCCAACUACAUUAAAGGUUCAUAAUAACUUUAACGAGCUCUAUUAUCUUGCAUAGUUUUUAGGUUUAUGUAAUUAAAUUGUUUCAAACCUAACCCGUCCUUGUUACUUCACAUGAAUUCUAAGAAACCAUUAGUUUAAUAUGAUCAGUAAAAUACAUGUUUUACUAAGUAAAAGAUUCCAAAAGGACUUAAUUUGAUUUCAAACUUAUGAAAGAUCGAGUUGCCAUGAAAUAUUUUCUGAACACUGUUAAACAUUAGAAAAACGAAGUAAGUUGAAUGAUGUAAUUAUUCUAACCUAUUCAUGUUAUUGAUUGUUGAAGUUUGUGCUGUUGCUGCUAAAUUCAUCUCAUACAUUUUAGUUAAUCAUCAUACUUAGAUUAGAAUUUCAUUAGGGAUCAUCUUUCAUAUAGAUAAUUUAAUUUAGUUUAGUCAUCCAUCGCUCGAAAUAUUGUGUUCUUAUCACCAAUUUGUAAAAAUUUAAGUUUGCAAUUAAUUGUUUAACAUAUAGAUCCCUGUAGAGACGAUAACUCUUUUACUUACUUAUUACUUGAUAACGAAUGUGUACAGUUGCACAAACCUACGCGUUACAAGUUUUUGGCGCCAUUGCUGGGGACUGUUGCCUUAAUCAUUUUUGCGAAAUUAUUCUUUGCAAUUUGGUUUUUAUUUUAUGUUUUAUUUAAUUUCUAACUUUACUAAUUAAUUCUUUAUUUUUUAUUCUUUUAUUUAUUUCUAACUUAAUUAAUUAAUUACUCUUUUAUUUUUUGUGAUUUAUUUUUCAGGUGUUUAUGAGCAUAUAUUGAAUCAUCGAUUUAUUACUAGUAGACCCUAAAAUCGAGCGGACAUUUAGAGAAAGAAGACGUGAACGUUUAGCCCAGAGACAAGUCGAAAUGAGCCUUGGAAAUCAAAAUGAUGGACAAGGAAAUGAAGCCAAUCAUAUGCGCAAUCUCAUCCUUAUUGUUAAUGAUAGGGAUCGAGCUAUAAGACAGUAUGCUAUGCUCCUCUUUGAUGAGUUAAAUCCGAGAAUUAGGAAGUUGGAUAUCGAGGCACCCUAAUUUGAAUUGAAACCAAUGAUGUUUCAAAUGCUACAAAUGGUAGACCGGUUCAAUGGAAUGUCCAUGGAAGAUCCACACCUUCACCUCCGAUUAUUCAUAGAGGUGAGUGAUUCAUUUAAAAUAGCUGCUGUGACUGAAGAUGUACUGAGGUUGAAGCUGUUUCCAUACUCGUGAGAUCGAGCACGAGCAUGACUAAAUUCAUUGCCACCUAGCUCAAUUUCUACGUGGCUAGAAUUAGCAGAAAGAUUUUGGGUUAAGUAUUUCCCACCUAGCAAAAACGCUAAGUUGAGAAAUGAGAUCAUCACUUUCCAACAAUUGGAUAAUGAGUCCUUGUACAAGGCGUGGGAGAGAUUCAAAGAAUUACUUCAUAGUGUCCUUAUCUUGGGAUUUCAUACUGCAUCUAGUUAGAGAUGAUUUAUAACGGUCUCAACGCACACACAAGAUUGAUGGUAGAUGCUUCUACGAAUGGUGCUCUCUUGUUGAAGUCUUAUAAUGAGGCUUACUAAAUCAUCAAGAAGAUCGAUAGUAACAAAUAUCAAUGGCCAAAAAAUCGAGCAGUGUUAGGAAGACGUGUAGCCAAAGUUCAUGAAGUCGAUGCCCUUACUUCACUUUCAGCUAAGGUAUCGUCUAUCUCUUCAAUGUUGAAACAGUUUACCACUAACGAUGUGAAUAAACGAACAGUGGAGAGAGAAGGAAAACGCGUCCAGCUGAAUGCGUUUUGCUAACCAAACAAGAAAGUGCGUCCAGCUGGACGCGUUUUCCUUCUCUCUCUAAAACCAGACUAAUCUGGUAAAUUUCGAAAAAACAGGCCUAAUCCGAUAAAUUUUCAAAAUUAUCGAUAUUUUUGGAUAAUUCACCCCGUUAUACUAAUUAUGUAAAUAUAAAUUAUUAAAGGUACAAAUAUUAUAUUUUUUAGUAAACAAAUAUAAUACUUGAAUCAAUUAAAUAUUUCAUGUUGUUAUUUUUUUGGACCAUAUAUUUGAUGCUGAUAUAUUUAUUAUUUUUGAGAUUAUAUUUUGUAUUAUAUUUUAAAUUGUAAUAUAUAUGGGAAAUAUUUAUUUAUAUUGGUGUAAACUUUAAAAUUAGUUUUAUAUUUUUUUUGUAACUUUUUAUAUGGUUAAUAUUUUAAUAAUUUAACAGUUGUAUUUAUUAAGAUAUUUUGUAUUUUUCAUGCAUGUAAUUUUUUGGAUUGAUCUGAUAUCUCUAUUAUAUUGAUAUAAAAUAUUGUCUAUACUAAUAUACAUUUAAUGAUUGAAAGUUUUUUUUUAUAUAUAACGAAUAGUUAGAAAAUUUUAAUUUAUAUCAAAUUUAAUAUGCAUGAUCUAUAUGAAUAAAACAUGAAAUAUCAUUAUAUCAGAGUUACGAAAAGGUAAAAUACAUAUAAAAGAAACGACUAAAUUUGCUGAAAAUGCCAAAAAAAUAAAAAGAGAGGGAUUUAGGCAAGUUUUUGUGAUAUUUAGGGAAAUAAGCUGAUUUUAAAAAAAGAAAAUAAAAACGUAUCCUUUGGUUAGAUGAUUAAAUAUUUGUGGUUUUUUUCCUUGAGUCUUAGGUUUGAUUUUUCUAUUACUUACAUUAAUAUUUUUUAUUUCAUAUUGUUUCAAGCUUUAUUUAUUAUUUUUAAUUAAUUUUUUUAUUAAAUUAGCUCGUUUGGUUAGAUGGUUAAAUAAUAGUGAUUUUAUUUUUAAAUCCUAAGUCCGAUUUAUCUUCUAAGCACAUUUGUAUUUUUUAUUUCAUGUUAUUUCAAGCUUUUUUUUAAUUAAUAAAUAUAUUGUUUUCAAGUUUUUUAAUUUUAAUUAAUAACUCUUUUAUUUAUAAAAUCAAAUAAUUAUUGUAAAUGUAAUUAUUUUUAGUAAGUAUAAUUUUUAUAUGUGUAAUAUUUAUUUUUCAAUCCAUAUCAUGACGGUAGUAAAUUUUAGUAUUAUAUAUUUUUGUAUGUGUAUUUGAAAUAUUUCACAUAUAAACAUAAUGAUAUUUGAAAUAAUUAAUUGAAAUAUUUCACAUAUAAAAAUAUUUGAAAUAUCAUAACUAUAAUGUAGAUGAAAAAAUAAUGAUAUUUGAAAUAUUUUAUGUAACAACCCACACCCGGCAUAGACGUUAUGGUCGAAUCUUAAGGAAUUAUAUAAACUCGUUUUAAACCCAAAUUUUGAAUUCAAAAAAUAUCUGCCUUGUCAAUAUUAAUUUUUGGCAAAUCUUUUACUAGUUUUUAGGAAAAUGCUCGUUAAAAUUAUUUAUUUUAUAGAAAUCUCCUAAUUAAUUACUUAAUCUUUGCAGCAAAAAUUACGAAGUUUGAUUUUGAAACCAAGAUUUUAAUUUGGAAUAAAAAUCAUUUGUUUUUGUAAUUUAACGAUAAAAAUGCCCAAAAUCUGUCGAAAAUAAACCAAACCGUAAAGUAAAGUCCGAAAACAGAUUUACGGUCCCAAAAGUCCAGAUAUUACGUUAAUACAUUAAUAGUCUAGUUUUAUUAACCAAAAAAUCAAUCCGAGCUCCCGUGCGCCGCUUGAUCCUAAGUUUGUUGAUUACUUGAGAAGUUAGAAAAUUUGAGUGGGGUUAUAAAGUUCAGUGUGUAACUCAGCCCAUACAAACAAAACAAAUAGCAUUAUCACACGGAAGUUUGGAAACGAACAAAAUACACAGCAUGACAUACAAUACAAUGCAACAUAGUUAUCAAAUCAGAUACGGAUGGCAUGUCAUAUCAUGCAAUGCAACACUUAUUACAGAACAAAUAUAGAUCCUACCUCCAUCUGUUACGCACUAUCUCCAUCCAUCCCUACACACCAAAUAGGGUAAUAAAUACUUAUCCAACCCCACACACCAAUAAGUGAGCUUAUGUCACUAUACAAAAUAGUGUAGUCAAAGCUGCCAAAAAAUAAAGCGAUAGAAUCAGAUAAGUGUGGUCAAGCCACCACAACAGAUAUGUUGUUUAAAACCAUUAGAUAAAGUAGAUCAUUAAACUGCCAACACUUCCUCCAUCACAUUAUUAUCCCACCUCAAUGCAUAAGCAACCACUAUCCAAAUAUCUAGAUGCACACAAAUCAUACAUGCUUUACACAUCAGAACAUGCUAACAUGCUUUCAGAAUACAAAAGUAGAAUAUCAAAUUUCGUAUAUACAAGCUAUACAUAUCACAUAAUAGACCCUACGAAGUAGCUAGCAUCAAAACACACUUCAAUCACGGCCCUAACUAAAACUUACGGAUAAUGGGCCUACACGCCCGUGUGGUCGACACAGCCUACUUGACCCAAAUCGUGUGGCGCCAAUAGAAUGUUUUUCCGUAUAGCGCUACUCGCUAUUUUUCAGGACAGAAGGUACAAACCUGAUUGUUUCACGAGGCCCACACAACAUCGAGAAUUCUAGAACCUAAAAUGACAUUCAGAACGAGCGAAUAAUCAGUGAUAUGCUAAAUUUCCAAGUCACUAACUCGGUUGCAAGUGCUAAACGUUUGACCUAACAAAAGGAAUCAGCCCUUAAUCGAAAGCAUUAAUCACUUACCCAACAGAGCAGUAGCCCAACAAAUCCUCUAAUUCGCUGGAUGUAAGUUGUGUGCUUCUUGCACCUCACCAAAACAGAACCAACAAUUAAUCCAUCAAACCCACAUCCGUAAAAUCCGAAUUAAAACUAUCCAACCAGAUUAAAACAACUUUCUUACAAAAACAAACAAAUAGCUUACAGAAACUUAUGACAACCCCACGAAACCUCUGAAACACCACCAACACACUAAGAAAAGGCAACCAACGACAAUACUAGCAAGUCACUACGUCUAAACGGAAGCAACAUUGAAUAGAAAAUUGGCUAAAGAGGGCUGUAAAGGAUGUUAUUGGCAUUGUGAAAACAAGCAAAAGGAAAAGAGAAAAUUAGAGGAAAGAAAUGAUAGAGAAAGAGUUGAAAGUAGCUUGAGAAAAAACAGGAAAAUGGAAAAACAUGUGAAGAAUGGGACGACAGAAUAGGGGAGUGGGAGAGAGAGAAAAUCGUGAGUGUUUUGGGGAGAAAAUUAGGAGAAUAUUUCUCAAUCAAUUUUUUUAAAAGAAAAGAUUAACUACCUACUAAAUCCUAUCAGAUUUUGAGUCUGACAGACAUUCUGACAGCAUGGGCGGCAACAAGUAACAGAGCAAAAAUAAUUUUUUUUGCACACAACAUGAUUCAAACACAUAUGCUAAAAUUUUACCACUAAGCCAAUAAAUUUAUUCUUAUAAUUAAUUUUACAAAAAUUAAAGAUAACCCUUACAAAUCAAGUCAGACAUAGUUUCAAAAUUAAUGGAAAAAUUUCAAAGAGAAAGAAAUCGAACAAAAGACCUAAAAACCAC
rnacentral:lncRNA from 1 species